rnacentral:SRP_RNA from 1 species
ACCGGGUGCGGUGGCAUGUGCCUGUAAUCCAAGUCACUGGGAGGCUGAGGUUGGUGGAUCAAGUGAGCUGAGGAGCUCUGGGCUGCAGCACUCUAUGUCGAACGGGUGUCCACGCUAAGUUCGGUAUCGAUAUGGUGUUCCUGGGGGAGCCCGGGACCACCAGGUUGUCUAAGGAGGGGUGAACCGGCCCAGGUCGGAAACGAAGCAGGUCAAAUCCCCCGUGCUGUCCAGUAGUGGGAUACUACCUGUGAGUAGAUGCUGCAGUGCAGCCUUGGCAAAACAUCGAUACCCAGUCUUUU